UCAGUCCUACGGGGCGCAGCAGUAGGGAAUCUUCCACAAUGGGCGAAAGCCUGAUGGAGCAACGCCGCGUGGGUGAAGAAGGUCUUCGGAUCGUAAAACCCUGUUGUUAGGGAAGAAAGUGCGUGAGAGUAACUAUUCACGUUUCGACGGUAUCUAACCAGAAAGCCACGGCUAACUACGUGCCAGCAGCCGCGGUAAUACGUAGGUGGCAAGCGUUAUCCGGAUUUAUUGGGCGUAACGGGAACGCUGCCGGUCUUUUAAGUCUGCUGUGA
rnacentral:rRNA from 1 species